GACGAACGCUGGCGGCGUGCUUAACACAUGCAAGUCGAACGGAAAGGCCCUGCUUUUGUGGGGUGCCCGAGUGGCGAACGGGUGAGUAACACGUGAGUAACCUGCCCUUGACUUUGGGAUAACUUCAGGAAACUGGGGCUAAUACCGGAUAGGAGCUCCUGUUGCAUGGUGGGGGUUGGAAAGUCUCGGCGGGUGGGGUUGGACUCGCGGGUUAACAGCUUGUUGGUGGGGUAGUGGCUUACCAAGGCUUUGACGGGUAGCCGGCCUGGGAGGGUGACCGGCCACAUUGGGACUGAGAUACGGCCCAGACUCCUACGGUAGGCAGCAGUGGGGAAUAUUGCACAGUGGGCGGAAGCCGGAUGCAGCAACGCCGCGUGCGGGAUGACGGCCUUCGGGUUGUAAACCGCUUUCGCCUGUGACGAAGCGUGAGUGACGGUAAUGAGUAAAGAAGCACCGGCUAACUACGUG
rnacentral:rRNA from 1 species